UGGCUCAGUUGGUAUAGAGCAUGGUGUUUGCAACGCCAGGGUUGUGGGUUCGAUUCCCAC
rnacentral:tRNA from 1 species